CUAUAUUCCCAGUACGCCAGCAAAAUCUGGCGUCGGGAUUGGCGUCCCGGAAU
rfam:Salmonella enterica subsp. enterica serovar Typhimurium str. LT2, complete genome.